rnacentral:lncRNA from 1 species
CACAGAGAAAGGACGUAAUUUGGUUGACUCUUUUUGAUUCAAGGACCUUGGAGGGCUGAGGUCCAAGCAGUGUCAGAGGCUUGAUGAGAAUUAAAAAAAAAUCUGGAAUUUCCAGCCCCCCUCACCAGAGGAGUGCGGAUACCACUGAUCAGAUGGAAGGCUUUGAUUUGGAAGGCAGCUGUGUGACAAGCAGGCUGAACAUGGGCACUCCUUUUGCCAAUGAGUGUACCGGAACACCAGGAAGCUGGGUGCAAAAUCAAAGCAACUCUUCCC